CGCACCGCUAUCCGUCAAAACGAAAUGUCAACAGCGAUGCGAUGUUUUUCGCAUGCACUUUUGUUGCAGUUCGAUGUUUUACUUAUGCACAUAAACUGCAUUCUGCAGCAACUGACAGUUCUUUGGCGUCUGUCAGUUGUUACAGUUAUCGAAUUUCAUUCGGUUAGUGAAACGUAAACAUGUUGCAGUUAUCGAACGUCUACUGUAUUUAAAAUCUGUUCCAAUUGGCCUCCUAAAAUGAGGUUAGGUUUUGUAAAAUCCCAUUUCGUAUUUUAGUGAUUGAGUCGUUCCAGAUAAAAUUUAAUGUGGGAUCGGGGUCGAGAUCGGGGUAGAAAAAAUCAUUUUAUCGAUAAAUUUACCAAAAAAAUGAAGAUUAAACUGCCACAGCAAAAAAGAAUGUAAUAUGCCUCGAUGUAAUUGUUGAAAAUGUGUAAAAAGUCAGAUGUAACUGUCUUUUUAGAUGUACAAUCACAUUGCUUCGGUGCUAAUUUACAUCUUCCCUGAAAUUACACCAAAAUAAAUUAUCAAUUUUCCUUUACAUCACAUUUGUGUAACAUUUACAUCGAAUUAAUGUGAAUAUUACACAGAAUGAGCUGCAACCAAGUGGUUGCGCUUUAAUUGUGUAGCAUUACACAAAGUCGAUGUCAUAUCGCAUCUUUUAAUGAUGCGAUAUUACAUCUCGCAACACUGCCGGCUUUGUUGUGAUCGUCCAAGCGCAAGGCAAGUGAGCGUCCAUCUUAAGUUUUCGGUGGAAAAAUUAUAGUCAAGACUUUUGCCAGAAAUUUGUUUGUUUUCGAAGAAUAAUUUAACGCGAAGCGGAGUUCCGGACAUCAAAAUUAGCACUUCAUCAUCGUCGAUCUGGAAGCCUAGCUCAACUUGGUGCUCUACGACGAAUCGGCUUCUCUCCGGUGGCUGAACCGGCAACAUCUAUUUCGAGCUAGCUAGUUGGCCAUGUGUGUUACCAGCUGCGGCAAAUAUGCGGUCCAAAUCACCCUCAAGAAUCACAUGCCAACAUAAACACCAAGACUAAGCGCGACUACUUGCCAUUGCCGCUGCGCUGGUGGCGAUUUGACUAUGGUCCAGCGUGUCGUAUCCCCAACACCACCGCCAUCAACGAGAUCUGGUCCAGGCAGUAAACUCCCGCCGAUAUGUCACGUAAACACGAUCCGGACGAUGAUAGAAAGACGACGAAAAACAAUCCGGAAGAUCGUCAGCGGGAGACUUGGAUGAAAAUGAAUUUGGCGAGGCUUGACCGCUCUGAUGAAGGGCUUCGGAAAAGUAAUCCGGAAAAGGAGAACAAUGAUGCAGAUUGACUAUACAGCCGUCUUCAAGUCAGUGUUACAUCACACUGUCGGUGUCGGGAUAAGCGCGGAAUGAGAGAAGCAGCUUGAGGAGCCAUAUAGCCGAACAAGUUAUUGUGCAGGCUCUGACCCAGCUGAGUUGGAAGAAAACGACAGAUGAACCUAGAAUAAUAACAAAUAUAACAAAUCUCUAAAUAAAUACACAAAACAAAUCUGGUUCAAACUUA